AUUGAACGCUAGCGGCAUGCCUUACACAUGCAAGUCGAACGGCAGCACGGGGGCAACCCUGGUGGCGAGUGGCGAACGGGUGAGUAAUGCAUCGGAACGUGCCCAUCGAUGGGGGAUAACUGCGCGAAAGCGUUGCUAAUACCGCAUACGACCUACGGGUGAAAGCAGGGGACCGCAAGGCCUUGCGUCGAUGGAGCGGCCGAUGCCGGAUUAGCUAGUUGGUGAGGUAAAGGCUCACCAAGGCGACGAUCCGUAGCUGGUCUGAGAGGACGACCAGCCACACUGGGACUGAGACACGGCCCAGACUCCUACGGGAGGCAGCAGUGGGGAAUCUUGGACAAUGGGGGAAACCCUGAUCCAGCCAUGCCGCGUGAGUGAUGAAGGCCCUAGGGUUGUAAAACUCUUUCGGCGGGGACGAUAAUGACGGUACCCGCAGAAGAAGCUCCGGCUAACUUCGUG
rnacentral:rRNA from 1 species